GGGUUGUGAGGUUAAGCGACUAAGCGUACACGGUGGAUGCCCUGGCAGUCAGAGGCGAUGAAGGGCGUGCUAAUCUGCGAUAAGCGCCGGUAAGGUGAUAUGAACCGUUAUAACCGGCGAUACCCGAAUGGGGAAACCCAGUGUGACUCGUCACACUAUCAUUAACUGAAUCCAUAGGUUAAUGAGGCGAACCGGGGGAACUGAAACAUCUAAGUACCCCGAGGAAAAGAAAUCAACCGAGAUUCCCCCAGUAGCGGCGAGCGAACGGGGAGGAGCCCAGAGCCUGAAUCAGCAUGUGUGUUAGUGGAAGCGUCUGGAAAGGCGCGCGAUACAGGGUGACAGCCCCGUACACAAAAGCGCAUGUGCUGUGAGCUCGAUGAGUAGGGCGGGACACGUGGUAUCCUGUCUGAAUAUGGGGGGACCAUCCUCCAAGGCUAAAUACUCCUGACUGACCGAUAGUGAACCAGUACCGUGAGGGAAAGGCGAAAAGAACCCCGGCGAGGGGAGUGAAAAAGAACCUGAAACCGUGUACGUACAAGCAGUGGGAGCACCCUUUUGGGUGUGACUGCGUACCUUUUGUAUAAUGGGUCAGCGACUUAUAUUCUGUAGCAAGGUUAACCGCAUAGGGGAGCCGGAGGGAAACCGAGUCUUAAUUGGGCGUUAAGUUGCAGGGUAUAGACCCGAAACCCGGUGAUCUAGCCAUGGGCAGGUUGAAGGUUGGGUAACACUAACUGGAGGACCGAACCGACUAAUGUUGAAAAAUUAGCGGAUGACCUGUGGCUGGGGGUGAAAGGCCAAUCAAACCGGGAGAUAGCUGGUUCUCCCCGAAAGCUAUUUAGGUAGCGCCUCGUGAAUUCAUCUCCGGGGGUAGAGCACUGUUUCGGCUAGGGGGCCAUCCCGGCUUACCAACCCGAUGCAAACUGCGAAUACCGGAGAAUGUUAUCACGGGAGACACACGGCGGGUGCUAACGUCCGUCGUGAAGAGGGAAACAACCCAGACCGCCAGCUAAGGUCCCAAAGUCAUGGUUAAGUGGGAAACGAUGUGGGAAGGCCCAGACAGCCAGGAUGUUGGCUUAGAAGCAGCCAUCAUUUAAAGAAAGCGUAAUAGCUCACUGGUCGAGUCGGCCUGCGCGGAAGAUGUAACGGGGCUAAACCAUGCACCGAAGCUGCGGCAGCGACGCUUAUGCGUUGUUGGGUAGGGGAGCGUUCUGUAAGCCUGCGAAGGUGGCCUGUGAGGGUUGCUGGAGGUAUCAGAAGUGCGAAUGCUGACAUAAGUAACGAUAAAGCGGGUGAAAAGCCCGCUCGCCGGAAGACCAAGGGUUCCUGUCCAACGUUAAUCGGGGCAGG
rnacentral:rRNA from 1 species